rnacentral:rRNA from 2 species
AACGGCCGCGGUAUCUUGACCGUGCAAAGGUAGCAUAAUCAUUAGUCCUUUAAUAUGGGGCUGGCAUGAAGGGUUUAACGAGGAACUAGCUGUCUCAAUUUGAUUUAUUAAAAGUUAGCUUUUUAGUUAAAAGGCUAAAAUUUUGUUGGAAGACGAGAAGACCCUAUAGAGCUUUACAUUUACAUUUUGUAGGAUUAAUUUUGUUUUAUUUAUGUACUUCUUUAUUUAGGUGUUUUGUUGGGGUGACAUUAAAUAUAUAUUUAACUUUUAUUGUUUGGGAACCAUUUAUUUAUGAAUAUUUGAUCCAUUCUUAAUGAUCUUUAGAAUAAGUUACCUUA